rnacentral:lncRNA from 1 species
AAAAAAAAUGGAGUUCCAUAUAUUAAUUCUGAUGGUAGACCAUUCUUAAUCUGUCCAAGAGGAAAAGUAUGGACAUUCUGAGAGACAAACAAGCAUAAAAGCCUUUGCGACUUGAAAUAUAGUGAUUUUCUGCUUUUACAGAGUGCUGAUAUCUGCAGCCCAUUGCCAAGUGCUCCUAUAGAAUUUAGUUUCAUAAGACUACUCAGCAACUACCAAAUUUGUAAAAACUACAAUAAUACUUGGAAAUAAAAAAGAUAGGAUUGAUUGGUUAUAUAGUAUUAUACCAUGUAAGUGGAACGCUGAAAGUUCCUUUUGUACUUAUCUGGCCAUUAUUGAACCUUUCAUUCACUUCAGAAGCCACUCGGUUUUGAAAGGUGCAGCAAAUUAACAGACCAUGAGCCACAAUAACUGAAAAAGAGGAGAAAGAGAAUGGCACAGAAUAAUUGAAAAUUAGAGCAUAAUUUUCUAGGGUAAAGCAGUGGAGCAGUUGGAGGCCUUAUACUAAUCCUUAUACUCCCACUGUAACGAUGCUUCCGUUGUGCUGCUGCGUAAACCACAUACGUUUAAUUUCUGUUUAUAGGCUUUGAUUGAAGAAUACCACACUUGUUAAAUAUGUGUUCUAGUCUUCAUUGAGGUUGAAUUUCAGGCUGCCAUUUAUGAUUUGAUGAGGUAUCCAGACAGUGAUCCUAGGCAGUGAGAGUCUAUAGGAGGUUUUUAAAAGAAAGGAGCAAUAAUCAUGUUCUAUCAAGUCAAGAGGGUGCUAUUGCUCCUUUCUUUUAUAGAUACUUUGACUUUAUAAAGACUAAAAAAAAAAACCUCAAGAUAAUCAAUCUAGAGACCAAGUGAUGUAACCCGAUUAAUGAUAGAUGCAACAGCUUUGCUAUGACAACUUCAGUAGUAAUAUCAAAUUUAGAUACUCUGUCUUUAUAGAGACAAAAAUAGCCCUCAAGACUAAUUGAUUUAGAGAUCAUUUGAUGUUACCUGACAGCUUUGCUUUGACAACUUCAGUAGUAAUGACCACCAUUUUUCUCCAUCAUUGCUCCAUGUCUAAUCUUCCUCCUUGGAUUUGUUUCAUCUUUUUCUUCUGCAAA